rnacentral:rRNA from 1 species
AUUGAACGCUGGCGGCAUGCCUUACACAUGCAAGUCGAACGGUAACGGGCCUUCGGGUGCCGACGAGUGGCGAACGGGUAAGUAAUACAUCGGAACGUGCCCGAUCGUGGGGGUUAACGAGGCGAAAGCUUUGCUAAUACCGCAUACGAUCUACGGAUGACAGCAGGGGACCGCAAGGCCUCGCGCGGACGGACCGGCCGAUGGGAGAUUAGGUAGUUGGUGGGAUAAAAGGUUACCAAGCCGACGAUCUGUAGCUGGUCUGAGAGGAUGAUCAGCCACACUGGGACUGAGACACGGCCCAGACUCCUACGGGAGGCAGCAGUGGGGAAUUUUGGACAAUGGGCGCAAGCCUGAUCCAGCCAUGCCGCGUGCAGGAUGAAGGCCUCCGGGUUGUAAACUGCUUUUGUACGGAACGAAAAGCCUUCUUUUAAUACAGGGGGGUCAUGACGGUACCGAAAGAAUAAGCACCGGCUAACUACGUG